AACGAACGCUGGCGGCAUGCCUAACACAUGCAAGUCGAACGAGACCUUCGGGUCCAGUGGCGCACGGGUGCGUAACGCGUGGGAACCUGCCCUCAGGUUCGGAAUAACUCCCCGAAAGGGGUGCCAAUACCGGACAAUUUCUUCGGCCCAAAGAUUUAUCGCCUUUGGAUGGGCCCGCGUUGGAUUAGCUAGUUGGUAGGGUAAAAGCCUACCAAGGCGACGUUCCAUAGCUGGUCUGAGAGGAUGAUCAGCAACACUGGGACUGGGACACGGCCCAGACUCCUACGGGAGGAAGCAGUGGGGAAUAUUGGACGAUGGGCGAGAGCCUGAUCCAGCAAUGCCGCGUGAGUGAUGAAGGCCUUAGGGUUGUAAAGCUCUUUUACCCGGGAUGAUAAUGACAGUACCGGGAGAAUAAGCGCCGGCUAACUCCGUG
rnacentral:rRNA from 1 species